UCGGGAAUUUUGGGCAAUGGGCGAAAGCCUGACCCAGCAACGCCGCGUGAAGGAUGAAGUAUUUCGGUAUGUAAACUUCGAAAGAAUAGGAAGAAUAAAUGACGGUACUAUUUAUAAGGUCCGGCUAACUACGUGCCAGCAGCCGCGGUAAUACGUAGGGACCAAGCGUUGUUCGGAUUUACUGGGCGUAAAGGGCGCGUAGGCGGCAAUUCAAGUCAUCUGUGAAAUCUCCGGGCUUAACUCGGAACGGUCAGAUGAUACUGCUUUGCUAGAGUGCAGAAGGGGCAAUCGGAAUUCUUGGUGUAGCGGUGAAAUGCGUAGAUAUCAAGAGGAACACCUGAGGUGAAGACGGGUUGCUGGGCUGAUACUGACGCUGAGGCGCGAAAGCUAGGGUAGCAAACGGGAUUAGAUACCCUAGUAGUCCCUGAGCGGGCUGGCAAGGCGCAU
rnacentral:rRNA from 1 species